rnacentral:ribozyme from 13 species
AAAAGGAGGAAGAAGUUCACAACAAAACAUAGGAGACACAAAAAGAGGAAACCCUUUUUUGAUUGAUCCAUCUUUUUUUUUUCUUGUUCCUCCAAGGGUUUGUAUUUUGUGCAAUUUUGUGCAAUUUU